UUUUGUUCUAUAAAGGCCCUCCCCUUUCUUCGUCACGUCCUCUUUCAAUUUGGUGUCUUCGCUGUAGAGACACAUCUCCACAAGAUGAGAGCAAAGUGGAGGAAGAAGCGUAUGCGCAGAACAAGGCAGUUAACUACCGGGGACCGUGUGUCAUUGCUGAAGCGUAAAAGGCGAAAGAUGAGGCAGAGGUCCAAGUAGACUGGCCCAUUCCCCUACUGCUGUGAUUGUUUUUCCCCACCCACUCCAAGCCCCCUGUUUGAAGCCAGCGGUCCAUGAUUUGCAAAGAGCUGAACCAUGGUUGUCUGAAGCCGGUCUCAUUGGUGUGAAGGACGGAUCCCGCAUACCCAGCCCUCUACUCUGCCAAUGGCACCUGGCUGUUGACUACUGCUAGAAUCUCUCCUGUUGUUGGACUCUGGCCUUUUACCACCUGCACAGCUGAUUUGUUGUGAAGACCAUAAUAAAUAUUUGGUUUACUAACUACAUUACUGUCUCUGUAAACAUUGAUUGAUGUUCAUAUCAAAGUUUAUUGGUCACACAUUUAGCAGAUGUUACUGCAGGUUUAGUGAAAUUCAUGUCUUUCGUUCCAC
rnacentral:lncRNA from 1 species